rnacentral:rRNA from 1 species
AUUCCAGCUCCAAUAGCGUAUAUUAAAGUUGUUGCAGUUAAAAAGCUCGUAGUUGGAUUUCUGGUUUGAUGCCCUGGCCCGCUGCUAUUUUGGUAGUGUGUGCCGGUUGUGCGUCUGCCAUCCUUCUAGGGAACGUUCCUUCUCUUCACUGAGCCGGGUUCGUGAUCUAGAUCGUUUACUUUGAAAAAAUUAGAGUGUUUAAAGCAGGCUUUUGCUAUGAAUACAUUAGCAUGGAAUAAUAAUCUAGGACUUCGGUCAUAUUUUGUUGGUUUCUGUAACUGAAGUAAUGAUUGAUAGGGAUAGUUGGGGGUGCUAGUAUUGAGCGGCCAGAGGUGAAAUUCUUGGACCGUUUGAAGACAAACUACUGCGAAAGCAAUUGCCAAGAAUGUUUUCAUUA